AUCAGUUGGCAGUUAACCAUAAAGCAGGUCACCUCGCUAAACCAAUUUCGCGUCUGCAAGAGGAACAAAACAGUGUGAAGAAGAUCUACAAGUUGGAUAUUUGUGCCGUGGGUUCAUCGACCUGACUGCUAACGCAGCUUUGAGGCUGAGGAUCGGGACGGAGUGAUUUCGCGGUGAACCAAAUUGAACGCGAUCACAAUAGAGCAAUUGGUCAUCUUUUGGCCGGACUGUGGUCUGCGCCUCACCUAAGCGCCAAAGCUUUAUUAACAUGGCUUGUGCGCGUGCAUCGAUGCAGUAAGCAGGAGUAUUGAUUGAGAUCGGCCCUAUUCUUCUCUUCCAAACAUGUACUACAACUACAAAAUGGCGGCGGCUGGAACGAACGCUGGUCCACUGGAGUGGAUCUACGCCGCGCUUGACUGGGCCGCUGGUGUGCCCGGAGAACCGGCUAGGAGUCGGUGGCGAGUGGUGUUACGACGG